UGGGGAAUUUUGGACAAUGGGCGCAAGCCUGAUCCAGCCAUGCCGAGUGCGGGAAGAAGGCCUUCGGGUUGUAAACCGCUUUUGUCAGGGAAGAAACGGUCUGGGCUAAUACCCCGGACUAAUGACGGUACCUGAAGAAUAAGCACCGGCUAACUACGUGCCAGCAGCCGCGGUAAUACGUAGGGUGCAAGCGUUAAUCGGAAUUACUGGGCGUAAAGCGUGCGCAGGCGGUUAUGCAAGACAGAUGUGAAAUCCCCGGGCUUAACCUGGGAACUGCAUUUGUGACUGCAUAGCUAGAGUACGGUAGAGGGGGAUGGAAUUCAGCGUGUAGCAGUGAGAUGCGUAGAUAUGCGGAGGAACACCGAUGGCGAAGGCAAUCCUCUGGACCUGUACUGACGCUCAUGCACGAAAGCGUGGGGAGCAAACA
rnacentral:rRNA from 1 species